rnacentral:rRNA from 1 species
AACGAACGCUGGCGGCAUGCCUAACACAUGCAAGUCGAACGAGACCUUCGGGUCUAGUGGCGCACGGGUGGGUAACGCGGGGGAACCUGCCCUUAGGUUCGGAAUAACUCCCCGAAGGGGGUGCUAAUACCGGAUAAUGUCUUCGGACCAAAGAUUUCUCGCUUUUGGAUGUGCCCGCGUUGGAUUAGCUAGUUGGUAGGGUAAAAGCCUACCAAGGCGACGAUCCAUAGCUGGUCUGAGAGGAUGAUCAGCCACACUGGGACUGAGACACGGCCCAGACUCCUACGGGAGGCAGCAGUGGGGAAUAUUGGACGAGGGGCGAAAGCCUGAUCCAGCAAUGCCGCGGGAGUGAUGAAGGCCUUAGGGUUGUAAAGCUCUUUUACCCGGGAUGAUAGUGACAGUACCGGGAGAAUAAGCACCGGCUAACUCCGUG